CAAAGAUUUUCAUUAAGUUUCAUAUCCAGCUUUUGGUAUAAAACAACACAGACAAGAAAAGUAGAAAAUACAACACCUGUCCUAUUAAGAUGAAAUAUAAUAAUCUGUUAUAAUGAAAUAUAAUAAUCUGUUAUAAUAAGAUAAAGUUGAUUCAGUGCCUUUCUUAGUGAGGUGUGAGAUAAAUCAUAAACACUAGUAAUGGCAAGAUGAAAUACAACACAGUGAAAUACUACUCCCUUACAAGGUGGGAUGUAUAGAAAGCCCUGCCCUAAUAAGGUAAAAUAUGAAAAGAAAGUGUUAUAUUUUAUCAUAUCAGGACAAGUAUUUUUUUGCAGCAAAGGAGACACCAUGAAAAUGACUGCAAUAUAAAUGGCUGCAACACCCUGCACCCCGCACCAGUGACAAAAGGGAGUCAUGACCAUUCAUUUCUUGGCAUCCUUCUCAUUCUUUGCAGGAGCAGUCAGGAGACAAGUACCCGUGUGAGGUGUGGCAGGAGGGGCUCCCUGAGGCUCUUGUCCGUGACCACCGAGACGAAGGCGUUGGCGGUGCAGGUGAGGCGCUGGCUGGGUGAGCCCAUCCACAUGCCCAGGCACAGGUGGCACAAGUUUGGCAGCCGCUCCAGCACCCCUCGGAGGAAGUCCUGGAAAAGCAGAGGAGACAGUGCAAGGGCCUGGGAUUAACCCAUGAAGGGCUUUGUGUCUCGGCUCCUGGAACGUCCUGAGCCUCUCAAAAAAUCACCAACAACCCUGCCUAUCAAACGAGCUCAGAAGGCUGAGGCUGGAUAUAGUGGGACUCUGAGACGAGGAGGCCUGGCAGUGACGAGAUCAGUAUGGGGGUGCACCUACCACUGGCCCGCCAUGAGCAAUGGUGCCUGUCUUAAGGGGGUAGCUGUUGGAAUCUCCAGACAACUGCUGCCAUUUGAGACGGCUCAAGGGCAACAAAAAGUGUAGAAAAAAAAGCCCACUCCUGCAACAGACAAAGAGAGAAGCAAUGCGCAGGGUCCUCAGGUUGUGAUGCCCCCUCAGCCCCUUCCUGGGUGCUCUGCUGGACGGAGACGACCUGACAUCCUCCAAAGCCUCUCGACCCACGUUGGGAGGCGGAAUCUCUGGUGCUCCCCAAGGAAAC